rnacentral:sRNA from 1 species
CCUCUGAGCCAUCUCUCCAGCCCAACGCGCAGGAUUUAUUACUGGAGUUAUUAGAGUCGACGUCUGGACCUUGGCAGCCUGAAGGGGGCCAGGCUAGCCCACUCAUACUCAACACGACAAUUAAAGAAGCAAAGAGCAAAAAGCAGAGAGGAGGGUCAUUCAGCAUGGCCCCACUGGGAAGAGGAACUGAUAGGGAGGCCCAGCGGCCCCCCUCAAGUUCAUCUUGGAGGUUCUCACGUGAGGUUUAGGUUUAGAGGAAAACAGCUCUGGGUAGCUUAGCCGCCAUGGUCAAGGUGUGUCCCACCCACGGCUGACCCAUUGUUGACAGGCUCCAGUCUCUCCUGCAAGGUGCUCUGGCAAGCUCUCAGUCUGCAUGGAGUCUCUCCCUGGGGGAAGUUCCCUUUCAGUUGGCCCGCAGACUUCAGCUUUCUUUUCUCCAGAAAGAGACUCCUGAGGCAAUCUCAUUUUCUUUGGACGCAUUGUUUCAAAAAUCUAAAAGCCCAAGCUUCCGGGCCACUGUGUCUACAAUCCUGCCUGGGUAACUGCCCCGGGCUCUAUGGGCGGGGAUGACUGUGAGACCUAGAAUCCAGGACAGAGGACAGCCCUUAACAUCUGUGAGAUGUGGGUGGAUUCCUGGCUACCGAAAGUAACAAGUCCUUCUGGGACAUGUGUCCUCACAAGGCUAUCACCGUUGUAGAGACUCCUGGGCAUCCCAUGCGACUCAGAGGUCCAGGUGAGUCUUGUCGUGGGACAACAGAGGCUCAAGAGGAUAUGGUCAAGAUGGGGCUCACCUGUCCAGUCCUGGUAUGCCCAGGGAAAGACCUCCCCCAGGCCCUAACCCCAGUCCUGCAGAUAGCCCAGGCUGUACUCUGUAUGUGCCGUCUCCCUCCAUUCAUCUAAUCUUCGUUCGUUGGUUCAACAACUCUUCAGUUGCGUCUGUCCCUGCCCUCCUCGUCGAGACUGAUACGGUGGUGACUACAGACUCAUCAACUGAUAACAGACACCUUAUCUGACUACAUAGUUCCUUUCCAUCUGGUUCUCCACGUCGUCAACAUUCACAGACACGCUGAAUAUUGAACGGCACAGCCCCCAGUUAGGGAAAGGACUUUACUCCGCCAAGAGCUUCAAAGGAUCUAGUACUGAACCUGGGACUCACAGAGUCAGCUAUGUCAGAUCUGCCCCGAGCUACAGAUUACAGAUGCCUGCUGCUGCACCUUGCCUUCCACUUGGGUACCGGGGAGCCAAGGUCCUCAGACUUGUGCAGCAGAUACCUUACCUCCUGAGCCACCUCCACCCUCCUCACUCAAGAUAUUAAAGCAGAUAUUAAAGUUAAAAAAAACC